GCGUAGGUGGCUCAGUCAGUUGAGUGUCUGACUUUAGCUCAGGUUAUGAUCUCAUGGUUCAUGGGUUCUAGCCCCAUGUUGGGCU
rnacentral:tRNA from 1 species